CCAUAUCGGUGCGGACCCACCCGGGGUGCACCGACACACACAACACGCCCGCCGCUGCUGCGGGGUCCGACGCAAGAGUCCUCGUCACCAUGUUGACGGCAGCCUGUUGGGAGGCAAGUUGUAUUCGUCGUAAUGGGGACGCUACCUGUGCCCACAGAAGACCUUCCAUACAUACCAGAUGACAGUUCCAUGUUGAAAAGCCACGACCAGCAGCAUGGCACGAUCAUCAAAACUGUAAAACGGUUCCGUCAUAGGAGAUGAAGAGGCCGUUGUGCUUCUCCUUGAGGGUGGAGAAGGCGCGAAGCAUUUGUGAGACACUUUCCUG